GCAAUCCUCGGGAGGCAGCAGUGAGGAAUAUUGGUCAAUGGGCGGGAGCCUGAACCAGCCAAGCCGCGUGAGGGAAGAAGGUACAGCGUAUCGUAAACCUCUUUUGUCAGGGAACAAAGGCGGGGACUAGUCCCCGGAUGAGGGUACCUGAAGAAAAGGCAUCGGCUAACUCCGUGCCAGCAGCCGCGGUAAUACGGAGGAUGCGAGCGUUAUCCGGAUUUAUUGGGUUUAAAGGGUGCGCAGGCGGCCUGUUAAGUCAGCGGUAAAAGCCCGGGGCUCAACCCCGGCGAGCCGUUGAAACUGGG
rnacentral:rRNA from 1 species